rfam:Colletotrichum gloeosporioides Nara gc5 unplaced genomic scaffold scaffold39, whole genome shotgun sequence.
GGCCCUAUGGCGCAACGGUAGCGCGUUCGACUCCAGAUCCUGUCCUGCGACAGUUUCUGAUAUGAUAUCGAAAGGUUAUCCGUUCAAAUCGGGUUGGGGUCA